GGCAGGAGCUCGAAUUUGAAAUCUGGGGUCUCCGACCUCCGAGUUGUAAUUUGGAGAGGCAUCUUCUGGGGGGAGCGCCGGCCCAUGUUCCUUGGAACAGGACGUCACAGAGGGUGAGAAUCCCGUGCGCGGCCGGCUGCCUCCUCCCGCGUGAAGGGCCUUCGACGAGUCGAGUUGUUUGGGAAUGCAGCUCCAAGUGGGUGGUAAAUUUCAUCUAAGGCUAAAUACCGGCGGGAGACCGAUAGCGCACAAGUAGAGUGAUCGAAAGAUGAAAAGCACUUUGAAAAUAGAGUCAAAAAGUACGUGAAAUUGUUGAAAGGGAAGCGCUUGAGACCAGACUCAGGCCCGGGCAAACAUCUCUCCCCUCGGGGCCGUGCAAUUGCCUGGGGCUGGGCCAGCAUCAGUUGGUGUGGCGGGACAAAGGCGUGGGGAAUGUGGCUCCCCCUCGGGGAGUGUUAUUAGCCCCGCGCUCAAUGCCGCCGACGCCGACUGAGGACCGCGCCUCGGCUAGGAUGCUGGCUUAAUGGCCUCCAGCGACCCGUCUUGAAACACGGACCAAGGAGUCUAACAUCUAUGCGAGUGUUUGGGUGCCAAACCCUUGCGCGGAAUGAAAGUGAGCGGAGGUGGGAACCCCCCUGCGGGGCGCACCAUCGACCGAUCCUGAUGUCUUCGGAUGGAUUUGAGUAGGAGCAUAGCUGUUGGG
rnacentral:rRNA from 1 species